rnacentral:lncRNA from 1 species
GGGUGUGGGUAGUUGUUAGAGAAUAACUUACACUGAGUGUGACCAUCAUAAGAAAUCACAUGAAUAUCUACUCACUCGUCAGUGGUCUUCUUGAUGUUACAGUAGUGUAAGUGAUCCUUUGACCUGCGGUGUCAUUGGCUAUUCGUAAUGAGGCUACUGAGUUUGACUGUACAUUUUGAUCCCUAGCCAUUUGAGUCCUUACUGUAUAUGUUGGCUAUAGUAGGUUUAGAUUCGGUAUAUAGAGUAGAAUGCACCUAAAUAAAAUCUAUCGACCUUUGAAGAAAAAGAAAAGUCCUAUGUGAUUCGCGAGACUAAGUUUAGAAAGUCUUUAGCCAAAGCAAGUGUGAAUGCUGGAAAAGAGUUUCCACAGAACUCACAAAUGAAC